CGCGGCAGCUAUGCUGCGGUCGAGCGAUGGAUAAGAGCUUGCUCUUAUGAAGUUAGCGGCGGACGGGUGAGUAACACGUGGGUAACCUGCCCAAAAGAGUCGGGAGAACUCCGGGAGACCGGGGCCGUAGCGGAGAGGAUUUUGAGCCGCAUGGUUCGAAACCGAAAGGCGGCAUCGGCCGUCACCCGCGGAGGGAGCCGCGUCGCACCAGCUAGUUGGUGAGGUAACGGCUCACCAAGGCAACGAUGCGUAGCCGACCUGAGAGGGUGAUCGGCCACCUCGGGAGUGAGAGACGGCCCAGACUCUACGGGAGGCAGCAGUAGGGAAUCUUCCGCAAUGGACGAAAGUCUGACGGAGCAACGCCGCGUGAGUGAUGAAGGGUUUCGGGUCGUAAAACUCUGUUGUUAGGGAAGAACAAAAGCUAGUUGAAUAAAAUGGACGUGGCUGGUGCCGGGCCCAAACCCAAAACCCACGGUUUCUUCUAGCUACAUGCCCCCAGCAAUAUAUUACGUACGUGUUUUUCCUUAUUUUUUUAUUGUUGAGCGUCCAGCGCGUGCUGGUGAUUCAUAAGACUGAUGCGACAGCCCACCGCAUCGCAGCGUGGUAGGUCCAUCGGAAAUCUCAGGAAGCCCGCAGACGCAGAAGGAGGGAAAGGUGGCACUCCCAUGUCGUAGCGUUACAAUGCAAUGAGGAGAUAGAUGGAGCAGGAACAACGAUGCGCGAAUGGCCACUUUCUUUGAUUCUGUAACUGACACCUGGAAGCGCGGAAAGACGAGCGGAGCAAUACCACGACUCAGAGUACCCUCGCUAGCUCACACCCAUGUAAACGCAUAGAGUGAUAAGGGAUAGCACGCGUUGCCGCGCCUGAAGUGCUGAAGCUAACGCAUUAAGCACUCCCGCAUGGGGAGUACGAGCCGCAAGGCUGAAACUCAAAGGAAUUGACGAGGGGCCGCACAAGCGGUGGAGCAUGUGGUUGAAUUCGAAGCAACGACGAAGAACCUUACCAGGUCUUGACAUCCUUUGACAACCCUAGAGAUAGGGCUUUUCCUUCGGGAGCAGAGUGACAGGUGGUGCAUGGUUGUCGUCAGCUCGUGUCGUGAGAUGUUGGGUUAAGUCCCGCAACGAGCGCAACCCUUGAUUUUAGUUGCCAUCAUUAAGUUGGGCACUCUAAGGUGACUGCCGGUGACAAACCGGAGGAAGGUGGGGAUGACGUCAAAUCAUCAUGCCCCUUAUGACCUGGGCUACACACGUGCUACAAUGGACGGUACAAAGAGCUGCAAGACCGCGAGGUGGAGGUAAUUUCAUAAAACCGUUCUCAGUUCGGAUUGUAGGCUGCAACUCGCCUACAUGAAGCUGGAAUCGCUAGUAAUCGCGGAUCAGCAUGCCGCGGUGAAUACGUUCCCGGGCCUUGUACACACCGCCCGUCACACCACGAGAGUUUGUAACACCCGAAGUCGGUGGGGUAACCUCUUUGGAGCUGACCCUCCCUUAAGUGGGGGCCGCCG
rnacentral:rRNA from 1 species